rnacentral:rRNA from 1 species
CAGACCAUGGGGUUGAUAGGCCAGAACUGGAAGCCCGGUAACGGGUGGAGGUGACUGGUACUAAUAGGCCGAGGACUUACCAACAA